rnacentral:lncRNA from 1 species
GAACCAGGCUGGCUCAUGCGCUCCCGCCAGCUCUACAGCAACAAGGUAUCUAAACCAAAAUUGACAUCUGUUAUCUCAUGAUUUUUCUGCCGGCCCACAUCAAGGAGGAUGUAGCCUGCGAUAAUUGCAUUCUGUGCAAUCGAAGCAGCAACAUGCAUGUGUCUCUUCUAUUAAUUAGCUACUCCACUAGACUAGAAACAAGAACAGAAAUUACUUUACUUACUUAGCAUCGUUAUAUAUACUGUUUUCUUUUGACGCAUCGUCAUAUAUACCGCUUGUUUAAUCUUACCUGAAGCUGUACAUCCUGACUUAACAAAAGGACUGCAUGCAAAUCAUAUCAUCAAGUAACCUUAUUUUCCUGGUUGAUCCGAGCAUUAUGACGUUUUGCUCAACCCUUUAGCAAAUAAUUAGUUCCAACUCAUCUUCUGCAUGAUGCACGCUAGUACAGUAUGAUGACGUGACUUCAUUUAUCCAUAUAAGCUGAUACACAUGCACCAUCCAUUCUCUACAUAUCGAAAUGACAGACAAGACAGUAUCAUUCUUAAUUACUGUAUUUACCAGUUGUGGUCAGUUCUUACUUUAUGGUUGAUGACGCAAAUUAAGUACAGUGACUACUAUCUAUGUGUAUAUUAAUCCGGAUCCCCAAGAAAAAGGAGAUGUCUGCCUCGGAGUCUGAGUACCUGUGGGCGCUGGAGACGCUUAAUAGGUGGGAGGAGCAUCAAAAGAGAACAGCACCAAGCGCCUUUAAGUUGUAUGUGCAAUAUACAAGAAGCAUCCAGAUACUAUACUCAAAAUUUUAAAUAGCGCGCUAAGCCUUUUAGCGGCAGCUCGGUCAAAAGCUAUGAAAUGCUAUAGCGCAGCUAUAGCAUGCUAAGCCCCAUUUAGCGUUUCAGUAUAAAUCAAUAAAAAUGAGAAAAUAAACAUAGGAUGAGUCGUCAUAGUACCAACAUACCAUACAGUACAAUACAUAAUAGGGGCAUCUAUCAGCAGAUGGUCCAUUUCAUUACAUAAUAGGGGCAUCUACCAACAUACCACCAACACACUUUAAAACUACGCUUUGGCAUGGGCUUUGCCCGUGUAGCAAUUCAAUUUUGAACCAAAAUUUUCAGGCCAGAGACGCGGGACGCUACGCUAGAGGCCCAAUCUCAGUGCUAAAUGACCUCUAGCGCGCUAUUAGCAUGCUAAUCCGCUGUAGCUAAAAUCAAGCUUCGCGUAGCGCAGCGUGUGCCUGGACGUGUAUAGCGGCGCUAUGGCGACGCUAUUUAAAAGUUUGACUAUACUUGAUUGAUUUCUCUCUUAAUUUCCUGUUUGUUUGUUUGUUUGACAGGAGUUGAUGCAUAUAAUAUUAUUUGACCUACCUCUCUCUACUUGCAGGAGGUUGAUGGCCUAUGAACUUGCGGCUAAGAAUGUGGUCCGUGGAGCUGCCAAGGCGAUGUUUUGUUUCUGUAUGAUUUCUCAUCUUAUUUUCGGUGACAAGUGGGACAAAGCCUAUGCUGUUACCAUUGAAGGCGAGAUGGGAAAAUGAGAAGCAAAGAUGACACUUCUUUUAAGUUAAAUUUUGACCUCUGCAGUUUGGCUAGCUAGUUUGCCUGAAAUUGUAGCUUGAUGCGAACAUACUUGCAUAGCUUGUAUCGUCA